CCUUGCACAAAUAACCCGACUAUGGCUUGUCUUCGUCCAAAGACUCAAUAAGUCUUGGAAAUCUGAGAUAACAACACUAGUAGGAGUGCAAUUGGAAGGUCUUCCUGGAGAAGUUAGUUGAGGCAUAGGAAAUGAUAUCUCUAUUCUUCGUGAUUCUGCCUUUUAUACUUAGUGUAAAGUGUUUAUUGUUUUGAGAUAAUAGUAUAAGUGCAUUGAUCGUUGAUUGCUAAUCCACUAGAUUGCCUGCGGUACUCUUAUUGUAUGUCCAUGUGUGUUCUUGAAAUCAAACUUGUGUACUAUGAACUAUCUUGAUGAAUCUUGUCAUGGCUACUUCCAAGUUUGAAGUGAACAUGUAUGAUGGGAAGGGGGCUUUAAUAUGUGGAGCCAGAAAAUUAGGGCUAUCUUGAUGCAAUGAAAUGUGCCAAAGGCUUAGAUAACUCUUGGCAUGUUGAAAUGUCUAUUGCUAAAAGAAAGAACUGAGUUAGAAGAAAUAGCACGAAGUACUAUUUUCUUGUACCUUUCAGACAAUGUGCUCAGGUUUAUAGGCGAAACUAAAACUGCUGAAGAGUUGUGAACCAAAUUAAAAGCCUAAUAUAAGCCAAAAAUUGUUCCAAACAAUUUUUUUUUGCUAAAACAAUUCUUUUCUUUCAAAAUGGACCCUUCUAAUGACUUUGAUGAAAACUUGGACAAUUUUACAAAAUUGACCCAAAACCUUGCCAAUUGUGAUGAGAAAUUAUCAGAAGAUUAGCUGGUCGUGGUCUUGUUAAACUCCAUUCGUGAUAGACAUAGAGACCUAUAGAAUGCCUUAAAAUAUGGAAGAGUUAAGCUUACCACAGAAAUCAUAAUAAAUCCUGAUAAUUGUAUUUAUACACUUAAUUAGGCCGUUAAAAUUGAUUAUUUGUUGAUGAAUUGGAUGAAAUAUGGCUUAAUCUUAUGUAUAUAUUAUGUGUAGGUAACAAUUGAUGGAAGAUGCGAGAACAAAGAAAAUAAGCGAGAAAAUGACUCAAUUGCAUCAGGGGCAAAGUUUGAAGUCUAGAAUGCAAUAAUCCAAAAGUUGAGUUGGAAUGCAGAACGAUGAGUUAAGAACACCAAGAGUCAAUUGGAAUUGAAGAGAAGUUAAUAGGAUGAGAAAUUUUGGAAAAGGAUCAAAACACUCACUUCAGGAAGUUCAGUGACCAAAUUGCAAACUGGCCCCUAAAAAGUUGAACUAUGAGUAUGCAUGGGCAUGUAGACUUUGCGCACACAAGGUUGGGAAAUUAAACUUCUGAAGCUCAUUUGAGGUUACUAUGCGUACACACCAUAUUUGGAAUUUUUGGCACCAUAUUUAUACCAAGAGUUGGCUAAAACACAGGAACCUAAUUUUCUAUCAUCUUGCAAGCCGAUAAAGAGGAGAAAGGGAGAGAUAUACAUUGAAGAACAAGACUUCAUCACUUAGAUUCGGAAUUGAAGGCAUAAAUUGAAGGAUUUCAGAUUCUUUUCAUACUUUAAUGAUUCGGGUG
rnacentral:lncRNA from 1 species